GUGUUGGUGAAGGCAUCACUGUCGUGCA
rnacentral:sRNA from 1 species